GGAGAGGUGACCGAGUUGGCCGAAGGUGCACGACUGGAAAUCGUGUGCGCUCUUAAAAGGGGCGCCGAGGGUUCGAAUCCCUCCCUCUCCG
rnacentral:tRNA from 1 species